CUAGCCGCCACGGCUGCCGGGCAUUCGAGCCGGAAAUGACGCUCUAGCCGUACCUCGCGCUAGCCUCGUCUCACCCUGAGAUUACCCACAAGGCGGCGCGCUGCGCAGACGCAAAAGCGUCGUCUGUGGCGGCAGCUAGACAUCGGGCGACCCUCGUCCCGCCAGGUUUUGGGGUCGCGCAAACGAGCGACGGGGGCUGGGGCUCCGGAUUCAGGUGUUCUUUCUUCAGCGCUCACGGGUUUCUGUCCGUACGCGAUGCGAGCGAACGUCGCGGUCGAGGCUAGGGCCCCGAAGCCCGCAGUAAUCCACGUCUCCCGCCCGCUCCGGGCCCCCAGUGCCGCCGUCGCGGGCGGAGGCGCGAGGUCUGGGCUUUGGCGCCUUCGCAGCCGCAGGCGACAUCCUCUUUCCUAGCUAAAGCCCCAAACGCCCAGGUGGCUUCCUGGGAGAGCACGGCUGAGCCUCCGCCUUCAGAUCAGAACAGGCAGAGCCUCCAAGGGCGGCUUGGGCCCAGUGCCUGCUUAUCCUGCCCGUCUCUCCACACUUCUUCUUUCCCUGUCCGUUGGAGUCCAUUCCUUCCUGGAAAAGCCAAAGCCGCGCUCCCCUAAGAGGCCUGGAUGUGAAGGAAUGAGGAGCACCCGGGAAGCUUCAGCCACUACACGAAGGAGGCGCCAAGCCCAAACUCCUCCCCAGCUACCGGCGGGGUCAGUGCAGAGCCGCGGAGGGCACACAUGAACCCUGGCACGCAGCCUCAGGGAGGGGCAGGCUGGAAAUGACCCUGCCUGCAGCUGGGCCAUCAGCCUGACCACCUGCCCCCUGAGCAAACGUUGAUGCAGGUCGGGCGCGGUGGCUCAUGCCUGUAAUCCCAGCACUUUAGGAGCCCGAGGCAGGUGGAUCACCUGAGGUUAGGCGUUCACGACCAGCCUGGCCAACAUGGUGAAACACCGUCGCUACUAAAAAUACAAAAACUAGCCAGGCAUGGUAAUGGGGUGCACCUGUAGUCCAGCUACUCGGGAGGCUGAGGCCCGAGAAUCGCUUGAACCCAGGAGGCGGAGCUUGCAGUGAGCGGAGAUCACCACUCCAGCCUGGGUGACAGAGUGAGACUCCAUCUCAAAAAAAUUAAUUAAAGAAAAAACGCUGAUGCUUUCUGAAAUACAUUUUAUUAUCGCUGUACCAUUCUGGGGCACUGGAGAUGGCAGCUGAGAAGCAGAGAAGCUGGAGACCUGAAGCCUCCACCCUUGGCUGUGGCUGCCGAGAGAGGCCCCUGCAGAGGGAGCCCCAGGCCACACCCAGACACCACAGCCAGCUCACAGUGCGGCCAGAGGGCACAGGCUGCUUGGGGGGUGAGGGUCCCCAUUCCUGCCACCUCUCACAGACCAUGACCCACAGGGCUGGGGGCUUCCCCUGGGAGAAAGUCCUUCCCUCCCCAUGGCCCAGCCCUGGGGAAAGAAAGCAGAGACUAACUCAGGGACUGCAGUAGGCUGAGGACAAGGGAGGUGGGCUUGGGGUGAAGGCCCCCCCUCACUCGCAGAGAAGGGACACUACCGGCAGUAGAGGACAGGGAGGCAGGACGACGGCAGUUAGAGACGAGGCGUUUCAGGUGAACUGUAUGUAGUGUUACUCCGGACGUGAGCAUGGCCUGGGUCAGUCGAAUGAAAUGAGCUGGGCCUCGCUGCCCUGUGCCGGCGGCCCCUGUGCCUGCGGUUGCUGGGCCACGGGGGGCUGCUGCUGGGGGGGACCGCCAGAGGGUGCCAUCUGUGCAGGAGGAAAGCAGGCAUGGCCCUGGUCCUCCCUUCCCCAGCCCAGGGAGGAAGGCUUUUGUCCCAGCAGAGCCACAGACCCACAAGUGCUUGUAAUCCAUGUCCACGGACUGCAGCUCAUGCAGCCAGCUCAUGCGGCCUUUGCCUUUCAAGUAAAUUCACGGUUUUUCCUGUCUACACUUGCGGAUGCGCGUAUCUGCCCUGAGACUUGUGUCCUCGUUCUGUCUGCUGAGAAGGGGCCUCGGGUAUGCGUCUCCCCCUGUGAGCAGACGUACGGGACAAUCCCCACUGGGGCCAGGGGUCCCAUUGCUAAACCGUGAAGCCUGAGGGUGCCCUGCGGGUGCCGCUGUGAGGCCCCGGGAAUGGCUCACCUGCUGGUACAUGGGCUGCUGCCCCGCGAUGUAGGGCUGCUGGGGUGGCAGAGACGCAUCCUGGCUUGGGAGGGUGGUCAUGAGAUUCUGUUGUGAGAAGACGUCAGAUGUGAGAGAGUAGCCCUGUGACCAGGCAGGCGGGGAUGUUUCUGGCUUGCAACAAUCCAAAGGUGACCACAGGGAGCACCCAGAGAGUGGAGGGGGAGGAGCAGAAGGGGUGGAGCCCACCCAGUGCCUGCCAGCCUCACCAAAGGACCCUCAGCAUCAUCAACUGCUCCCCCACCCUGGCCCCCAGCAGGGCCUGGAGGUCACUGUACCUGCAUGUUGUAAGGCUGGUAGCCCAUGGAGACUGACUGGCUCCCCAUGUAGCCCAUGGUGCUGGACUGCGGAGGCUGAGAGAUGGCCGGGAGGCUCUGUGGGGCCUGGGAGGCCACGUUCUGCGGAGGGAAUGAGUGCCAUGGGAGAAGGGGCUGGGGCUGGGGCUGGGGCUGGGGCUGGCCCUGGAAGGAGAGGAGCGGCCUUCCUGUGUACCUGGUAGCCCGCUGUGGGAGUAGGCUGGUAGGAUGAGUAAGCGGGGCUGGCGGUGGGUCCGGCCUGGGCCUGGGGGGCCGCCUGCGCCCCAGUGGCCCCUGCUGGGUACAUGUAGGCACUCACCAUGCUGGGAUCUGUGACAAACAAGACAGGGGAGAUGGUUCAGCCAGGGCAACAGGGAGGAGAGGAAGGGACACCCUACUCUUGAGUUUUACUUUUUUUUUUUUUUUUUUGAGAUGGAGUCCUGCUCUGUCACCAGGCUGGAGUGCAGUGGCACAAUCCUGGCUCACUGCAACCUCUGCCUCCCGGGUUCAAGCGAUUCUCCUGCCUCAGCCUCCCGAGUAGCUGGGAUUACGGGCGUACGC
rnacentral:lncRNA from 10 species